rnacentral:rRNA from 1 species
GACGAACGCUGGCGGCGUGCCUAAUACAUGCAAGUAGGACGCAGUUGCGAACGGGAGAGUGACGCGUAGGUAACUACCUAUUAGAGGGGGAUAACUAUUUGCAACGAAAGCUCAUACCGCAUACUAGCAGAUGGAUCUGCGUUGUAUUAGCUAGUAGGUCGGGUAAAGGCCUACCUAGGCAAAGAUACAUAGCCGACCUUGGAUGGUGAUCGGCCAAACUGGGACCGAGGCACGGCCCAGACUCCCACGGGAGGCAGCAGUAGGGAAUGUUCGGCAAUGGGGGGAACCCUGACCGAGCAACGCCGCGUGAGUGAAGAAGGUUUUCGGAUCGUAAAGCUCUGUUGUUAAGGAAGCGGUACUUAACCAGAAAGGGACGGCUAACUACGUGCCAGCAGCCGCGGUAAUAC